UCGACUGUUUAUCAAAAACAUAUUUAAUAGGAAUAAUUAUUAAUACAACCUGCUCAAUGAAACAUAAAUAGCCGCAGUUCAACUGUGCUAAGGUAGCAUAAUCAUUUGUCUUUUAAUUAAAGACUAGUAUGAAAGGUAUUACAUUUAAAUUAUUAUCUUAACACUUCAAUUUAAAUUUAUUCUAAAUGUAAAAAAACAUUUAUUAAUUAGAAAGACGAUAAGACCCUAUUGAACUUAACUUAAGUUUAACUGGGGCAGUUAAAUAAACACCAUUUUAUUUUAAAUCACAUUAAAAAUGACCUAAUCAAAUUAAUUUCAUGAUCAAGUUACCAUAGGGAUAACAGCGUAAUAUUUUUCAUUAGAUCUUAUAUAAAAAAAUGAUUACGACCUCGAUGUUGAAUUAAUUAAUCUAAUACACGCAAAAGUUUAAUAAGAAAGUCUGUUCGACUUUUAAACAAUCACAUGAUUUGAGUUCAGACCGGUGUGAACCAGGUCGG
rnacentral:rRNA from 1 species